CGAUCAACAUCUACUGCUGGAUUUCACCAGGAUCCCCCAGAUCAUCUUACACCGGAUAGACCGCCUUCAGGAUCAUGUUGGAAAAGAGGAGGAUUUCUCUGACCAGCAGCUCUGUGGACGUGAGAAGAAUUCCAGUUUGGACCAAAAGGAACCAGAACCUCUGCAGAUAAAAGAAAAGCAGCAAGAACCAGAACAUCCCUGGACAGAGGAGGAAAUCAUGGAGCUCCCCAUUAGCGAGCACAAAGAGCAGCUUGUUCUGCAGGAGGAGAUGGGAGAUACAGGAGAGAAACCUUCCCCAUGUUUGACAUGUGGAGAAACAUUUCUGAAAAAAGAACAUUUAAUGGUUCACAUGAGAACUUACAGAGGUCAGAAGAUUUAUAAAUGUCUGUCCUGUGGAAAACGCUUCACCUCCAAGUCUGUCCUUAGUACUCACAUCAGAAUUCACACAGAUAAAAGGCUUUUCUCCUGUACCAUUUGUAACAAGAAAUUUACUCGAAAGAAUAGUUUGACCAAUCACAUGAGAAUUCACACAGGUGAGAAACCUUUUUCCUGUCCGAUUUGUGGCAAAAGAUUUACUCUAAAAAGUCUUUUGAUUGGACAAAUAAUUCACAUAUGUGAAACCUGUUCUCCUGAAUGUUUUGUGACAAAGGUUUUAAAAGAGAAGGUAAUUUAAGUAUUCAGAUGACAUUUGUUCAUGCAUGAUGUAGAAUGAUUUAGAUAAAAAAGAAAAAAAUAGUUUCACAUAAUUCACAGCAGUAGAUGCCACAGGAAUGAACAGAAUAAGUGUUUUCCAUGUUUGAAUGGGGAUAAAAUGUCUAUUCUAUAUAUCUAGAAACUCCACUGCAUUACAUAAGAAACUGAUGGGUCAAAGUCUGUUUUGAGAAAGCCAUUAAUCUCCAGCUGUCGUUAUAUAGAAACUAGAACAGAUAAGGUGUAUUAUUGUAAACCUGGUAAAUGUUCUGGUUCUAGGUGAACAUGUGGAUGUGAACAUUUGACAGUUAAUUAUUUUGGGCCUGAGAAAAUGAAGAUUUAAAUGGCCAAAAAAGUUUGCCUUAAGAAAAAAAAGAGGUUUCCAUUUAUGAUGUCUUAAUUUCUCUGUACUGAAGGGAAUAAACAUAAUAAAGUGCAACAACAGCAUCCUGGUUACAGAUGAAGCAAGUUAGCAUCCAUACAACAAGCUAAUGAGAAGUUAUAGAUGUUUAAAUUGGGAAAAAAUCCAGACGGACCCCUGCUGUGCCGUUUUGUUGUAUUAUAUGAUGAUGGAUUAUAUUCUGCUGUGGAUGUUUUUAAUUAUUGUAAUCACUUCUAAACUGAUGAACAAGCAGCAAAAAAAAACCUCAUGGAUUGUAAAAAUGUGUUUCUUCAUAUGGUUUCACAUAAAUUAGAAACAAUCUUUUUCCAUGUUUUCUCUGAUAUUUUCAGCCAAACUAAAGCUGUAAAAUAAAUAGUUUAAUGGCAUUCA